GCAUAUCAUAAGCGGAGGAAAAGAAACCAACAGGGAUUGCCCUAGUAACGGCGAAGUGAAGCGGCAACAGCUCAAAUUUGAAAUCUGGCCCUCGGGUCCGAGUUGUAAUUUGUAGAGGAUGCUUUUGGUGAGGUACCUUCCGAGUUCCCUGGAACGGGACGCCAUAGAGGGUGAGAGCCCCGUCUGGUUGGAUACCGAUCCUCUGUAAAGCUCCUUCGACGAGUCGAGUAGUUUGGGAAUGCUGCUCUAAAUGGGAGGUAUAUGUCUUCUAAAGCUAAAUAUUGGCCAGAGACCGAUAGCGCACAAGUAGAGUGAUCGAAAGAUGAAAAGCACUUUGAAAAGAGAGUUAAAAAGUACGUGAAAUUGUUGAAAGGGAAGCGCUUAUGACCAGACUUGGACUUGGUUGAUCAUCCUGGGUUCUCCCUGGUGCACUCUUCCAGUUCAGGCCAGCAUCAGUUCGCUGCGGGGGAUAAAAGUUUUGGGAAUGUGGCUCCCUCGGGAGUGUUAUAGCCCAUUGCAUAAUACCCUGCUCCGGACUGAGGUUCGCGCAUCUGCAAGGAUGCUGGCGUAAUGGUCAUCAGCGACCCGUCUUGAAACACGGACCAAGGAGUCGUCUUCGUAUGCGAGUGUUCGGGUGUUAAACCCCUACGCGUAAUGAAAGUGAACGCAGGUGAGAGCUUCGGCGCAUCAUCGACCGAUCCUGAUGUUCUCGGAUGGAUUUGAGUAAGAGCAUACGGGGCCGGACCCGAAAGAAGGUGAACUAUGCCUGUAUAGGGUGAAGCCAGAGGAAACUCUGGUGGAGGCUCGCAGCGGUUCUGACGUGCAAAUCGAUCGUCAAAUAUGGGCAUGGGGGCGAAAGACUAAUCGAACCUUCUAGUAGCUGGUUUCCGCCGA
rnacentral:rRNA from 1 species